ensembl:lncRNA
UGCAGUAUCUUUCUUUGUUUUUCCAUAGGCUAUAUAACGAACCCAAAAGCACUUUUAAGAGCUUAUCUAUCUUUCAUCUAUCUAUCUAUCUAUCUAUCUAUCUAUCUAUCUAUCUAUCUAUCUACACUAUCUAUCUAUCUAUCUAUCUAUCUAUCUAUCUAUCUAUCUAUCUAUCUCGUCUGUCUGUCUCUGUUUUGAUCUGUGUAUUCGUCUAUCUGUUGAGUGUCUAUAUACAUUCACAUGAUGGACUUCGAGUUUGAAGAAGAGCUGAGAAAUACUGAUGAGCUCCUUGAAAACUUACAAGCUCGAGAGGUAAAAUAAAGUCAUCAUACAGUACAUACAUUGAGUUCAAUAUAUUUUCCUGUUGGUUUAAUAUUAUUAAGUCACAAUCAAUAUUAAUUUUGCCAUUACUGUUACUGUAUCGGUCAGUAGUAAGCAGUUUUUACCCUAACAAGACAUUAAGUUAUAUUUCUUGAAUUACUGGCUGGUCAUUUUUAUGCACUUAGGGAAGACUGGGCAAAAGCAAUGUGCACCCUCUACCCUCACCCCCUACUGUUCAGUGGAGAAAGAGGGACAGCCAAGGGGAAAUACUUUACAAAUAUCCAAGAGCCAAAAGGGCAGCAACUGUAGAAAGCAAGUAUAAUGUACUUACUAAUGUACUUACUGUAAACGCAAAUCUCUCUCUCUCUCCCACUCUCUCUCUCUCUCUCUCUCUCUCUCUCUCUCUCUAUAUAUAUAUAUACAGUUUGCUAUGCAGUAUUUAAAAUGAUGUCAAAUUGUGCUUCUGUUUUGUAAAUAGGACUAAAAAGAGACCACACCAAUAUUUCAGGUAAUGUUUACAUAAAAAUUAUGUUGUGUAUAUGUGUAUUUCUUUUGUGUUUAUUUCCUUCUUACAUUUGUUCUGGCAGGUCCAUUUGUUAUGGAAGAUGACUUGAAUGGUGGCCCUGCAAAUGCCUCUGAAACAGCUGAUACUAUUCUUGAAGAGCUAAAGAGGCUGUUGGACACUAAGGAAGAUGAUGCAAAUGUUGUCCCAAUUCAAGAUCAUCAACCUCGGUCUAUAUCUAAUGACUGGGCCAUUAGAACUGAAAUGAGGGCGGAGAGAUGGAAAGAAGCUAGAUCUUCUCUUGUGGAGAACAUUUUGAAAGGAGAAGAUGCAAGUUCCUCAUCCUGCCAACAGUGCAGAUCAAAUGCAGCUGUUGUGCGCUGUAGGGACUGCCUCCCUUACCCUUUCCUCUGUGCAGAAUGUGAUGAGAAACGACAUGGUAGCUUCUUUGUUCUCCACAAUAGAGAUUCACUUGUCUCAGGUUUUGUACAACCUUUACCUCCAUCAACAGGAUUCUUCCAGGCAGCUGGUCAAAUUUCUGUUAAACAUCUUGAGUGGAAAAAUAUCGGCCAAUGCCUUCAGCUGCAGUUUCAAUGAAUGGGUUGCAGCAAGAUAAGCAGUGGAAAAGAUGUGUCAGGAGGAGUUUUUCACUUGUCCAGCAUGCACUCCGGACAUGUUAGCUGUAUCUGUUGAUGGCAAUCGCAAACACUAUCGCUUUAAAAACAAAGCAAGGUACUUAUCUGUUUGUAAAUUAAAGUGAUUUUCUUCAUUUUGAAUGAUGUGUUAAUAUAACUUCCGAAUGUUUUCCUCAUUAGCACAGAGAAAAGGGGAUUACUUGACCAACUUUUUAUACAGAGUGAUGUGGAGGUGUCUGAAUUUGUGGACUAUGUCCGCAAAAACAGUGAUCACGUAAGUAUUAUGAUUGGCAAAUAUUACUGUUUAACUUGAUUUCACAGCUUUUCGCAAAUAAUUUUACACAUUUCUUGAAGUAAAAUGUAUUUCUUAGAAAAAAUU